GACGAACGCUGGCGGCGUGCCUAAUACAUGCAAGUCGAGCGGACCGAACAGGAGCUUGCUCUUGUUCGGUUAGCGGCGGACGGGUGAGUAACACGUGGGUAACCUGCCCGUAAGACCGGGAUAACUCCGGGAAACCGGAGCUAAUACCGGAUAACACCGAAGACCGCAUGGCCUUUGGUUGAAAGGCGGCUUCGGCUGCCACUUACGGAUGGGCCCGCGGCGCAUUAGCUAGUUGGUGAGGUAACGGCUCACCAAGGCGACGAUGCGUAGCCGGCCUGAGAGGGUGACCGGCCACACUGGGACUGAGACACGGCCCAGACUCCUACGGGAGGCAGCAGUAGGGAAUCUUCCGCAAUGGACGAAAGUCUGACGGAGCGACGCCGCGUGAGCGAAGAAGGGCUUCGGAUCGUAAAGCUCUGUUGUUAGGGAAGAAGAAGCGUCGUUCGAACAGGGCGGCGCGGUGACGGUACCUAACGAGAAAGCCCCGGCUAACUACGUG
rnacentral:rRNA from 1 species